GCGCACGGGUGAGUAACACGUGACUAACCUACCCUGGAGUGGGGGAUAACUGAGGGAAACCUUGGCUAAUACCGCAUAACACCUACGGGUCAAAGGAGCAAUUCGCUUUGGGAGGGGGCCGCGGCCGAUUAGCUAGUUGGCGGGGUAAUGGCCCACCAAGGCGAUGAUCGGUAUCCGGCCUGAGAGGGCGCACGGACACACUGGAACUGAAACACGGUCCAGACUCCUACGGGAGGCAGCAGUGGGGAAUUUUGCGCAAUGGGGGAAACCCUGACGCGGCAACGCCGCGUGGAGGAUGAAGCCCCUUGGGGUGUAAACUCCUUUCGAUCGGGAAGAUUAUGACGGUACCGAUAUAAGAAGCCCCGGCUAACUUCGUGCCAGCAGCCGCGGUAAUACGAGGGGGGCAAGCGUUGUUCGGAAUUAUUGGGCGUAAAGGGUGCGUAGGCGGUUUGACAAGUCUGAUGUGAAAUCUAUGGGCUCAACCCAUAGUCUGCAUCGGAAACUGUCGGGCUUGAGUAUGGGAGAGGUGAGUGGAAUUUCCGGUGUAGCGGUGAAAU
rnacentral:rRNA from 1 species